GUGCGAGACCGAUAGCGAACAAGUACCGUGAGGAAAAGAUGAAAAGAACUUUGAAAAGAGAGUUAAAGAGUACCUGAAACUGCUGAAAGGGAACCGAAUCGUAUCCAGUGUCUAUAAUCCAUGGCAUAUUUCAUUGGCGAGUGAGUGCGUGCAGCGUUUUGGAAGUGGUUUUCCGCUCCUGUCGUUGUUGUGCAUUUGCUUGCUGGUGCCCUGUGCUGUGGUGGGACGUCAGAGUCAGUUUGUGUGUCGCGGGAAAUGGUUGUUGGGGAGGUAGGUCGCUUCGGUGGCUAUUAUAUCCUGGUAACUAGUCGUCGUGGCUGAGACUGAGGUGCCUACAAUGUGCUUUCGAGUGUGCGGGUUUCUCGUGUGGCUGUUUGCUUCGAUAGCUUGCUAUGUUGGUGAAUAAGUUGUGCGAUUGAGACCUGUAUUAACUUGUUGCUGUUCGGGACUUUG
rnacentral:rRNA from 2 species